rnacentral:lncRNA from 1 species
CUUAAAGGCAUCUGUUUUCUUUCAGAUCUGAGUGAUCAGCUGCUGGAGGUGGUUGGUUUGGAAGGAGCCAUGGAGAUGGGGCAAAUAUACACAGGACUGAAAAGUGCUGGCCGAAGACUGGCUCAAUGCUCUUCUGUGGUCAUCAGGUAGUUCUUUUUCUGUAAUUGACAGAGGGGUUUGACAUAACUUCACCAAAACUAAUCAAAAGCACACAAGACUAAUAGUGACAUUUAUUUUUGCUUCAAAUGAGCAAUGGUUAAUAUUUAUAUAUUUCAAAAUGAUAGAAAUUGGCAGAUUUUUAAAGAGUAUUGGCUAGCUAUUACUUAUUAGGUCCUUUGAAAUCUGAUUCUCCCUUGUUGACUACCAUGGAAAUGGUGAUGUGUCCCUUCUAACAUGCAAAUUUAAUCUCCCCUAUGCUCUAUGCUCAUGCACACUCAAGUUUACUGAGGCACUAUUUAUUAAGUAAAUACAUCCAAAAUAAUAAUUAAAAAGUUAUUGAUCAACUAUGAACUUAAAUUCUUUCAUAGCCUAAGUGCAACACUGUUUCUGUGAAAUUAAAUAGUAAUAAGUUAUUGUAUGGUAAAACAAAAUGUGAAUUAAAUUUGAAAUUUUCCAAGGAAAUUUUCCCAUUAUUUCACUGGUGAAGAGGGGAAAAAGUCCAUUUUGACAAGGAAUCAGUCUCUUGGAUGUUCGAAUUCUGUGUAUCCUUAAAAAUAAACCCUGGCAUUUUUUUUUGCAUUCAUAAUUUUUGUUUUUAACACCAUAUUUACCAGGAAGUCUUAACAUUCUUAUGAUCUAGGUGCCUUUCAGAGUAUUCAUUAAUAGUGAAUAAAUAUCUCCCUUUCAGACGAGAUAACUUUAGAGGUCCACUUUACCACAUUUGCCUUCCCUGGUCUCAUCAUCGUCUAUCCUAUAUAUAGUCUUUUAUAUGAUAUAUUUCAAUGUUAUACUUACAAGGACAUAUUUUUCCCUAGGACUAGCAAGUCUCUGCCAAUGCAGAUUGAUGGGGAACCAUGGAUGCAGACACCAUGCACAGUGAGUACAGGGUAGCUAAAAUACCCUGUCAGUUUCAUUUUUACAAAAUGAAAAUAAUAAAUAAUCACAGUAUCUAAUCUUUUGUCUUGCCUCCUUUAGGACCUAUAAUCAAAUAAUUCCCCUCUUACUUAUGUAUCAAAGCCAUUGCAUUCAAGGUUUAGCAGUUAUAUGCCCUUGGCAAAUUUCAGUUUUUGAAUAUAUGUGUUAACCUACGCAUAACUUUAAAUACCAUGGAUCAAUUAUAAACUCUGGAACUAAGCAAAAUACAAAGUUUCUAAACUUUCUUGUGUUUAUUUCAUAACACCUUAUGAGAAAAUUAUUUAUGGAAACUUCAGACAUAAGUCUCCCUGAAUUUAUUACUCAUCUGUUAUUUUGUCUCCAUUUAGGGACUUGUGGGUUUGCUUUUCUAUAGAAAAAACAAAAAUCCCCCUUUUUCUACCAUAGUUGUUGUCUUCAUAACAUGAUAUCAUUUUUUUUAUUUUUCUAAUUAGUUAUACAUGACAGUAGAACACAUUUUGACACAUCAUAAAUGGAAUCUAACUUCUCCUUCCUCUGGUUGUACAUAAUGUAGCGUUACACUGGUUAUGUAAUCAUAUAUGCACAUAGGGUAAUAUCUGAUUCAUUCUACUAUCAUUCCUACCCUCCCUCUGUUUAAUUCAAAGUACCUGUAUUCUUCCCUACCCACCUCCUCAUCCUUAUUGUGAAUUAGCAUCUGCAAAUCAGAGAAAACUUUUGGUCUUUAGUACUUUUGGAUUAUCUUAUUUCACUUAGCAUGGUAUUCUCCAGUUCAUCCAUUUAUUGACAAAUGCCAUAAUUUCAUUCUUCAUUAAGGACGAGUAAUAACCUAUGUGCAUAUAUGCCAUGAUUUCUUUAUCCAUUCAUCUGUUGAAGGGUAUCUAGGUUGGUUCCAUAAGUUAGCUAUUUGAAUUGAGCCUCUAUAAAUAUUGAUGUGGCUCUGUCACUGUGGUAUGCUGAUUUUAUGUCCUUUGGGUAUAAACCAAAGAGUGGGAUAACUGGAUCAAAUGAUGGUUCCAUUCCAAGUUUUCUGAGUAAUCUCCAUAUUGCUUUCCAGAGUGGUGCACCAAUUUUCAGUCCUACCAGCAAUGUAUAGAUGUACAUUUUUUCCCCACAUCAUCACCAACAUUUAUUAUUGCUUGUUUUUUGUUUGUUUGUUUGUUUGUUUUGGUAUCGGGGAUUGAACUCAGGGACACUUAACCAUUGAGCCACAUCCUCAGCCAUUUUUUGUAUUUUAUUUAGAGACAGGGUCUUCGUGAGUUGCUUAGGGCCUCACUAAAUUGCUAAGGUUGGCUUUGAACUCUUGAUCCAGGAGGAUCAAGCCUCAGCCUCCAGAACCACUGGGAUUACAGGAGUGCACCACUGUGCCCAGCCUGCUUGUAAUCUUGAUAACUGCCAUUCUAACUGGAAUGAGAUGGAAUGUCAGUAUAGUUUUGACUUGUAUUUCUCUAAUUGCUAGAGAUACUGAACAUUUUUUUCAUAUAUUUGUUGAUGGAUUGUAUUUCUUCUACGAAGUAUCUAUUCAGCUCCUUAACCUAUUUAUUGAUUGGGUUAUUUGUGUGUGUGUGUGUGCACAUGUGUGUGUAUGAACGCGUUUAUGUGUGUUGUUUUUUGAGUUCUUUAUAUUGUGAUAUAAUUUCCUUCAAACAUUUUGAUUCCCCCCAAAUUUUUAUUUUCCUUUGUAUGGUGAAUAUCUCAUAUUGUCAUAGUUCAAAAGCAUGCUAAGCUCUUGGCAUUGGGGAUAGAAAUAUGGAAAGGAUCAACAAUAUAAUUAUCUCCAAAAACUUACAUUCUGAUAAUAGCUGACUAAAUAAUUAAUAAAUACGUAUAGAGCAAAUAUAAGAGUUAUGACAAAAAUAAGGUGAAAUAGUGAUGAGGAACUAGAUGGAGUAUGGGUAUCCUACUUUAGAUAAGUGGAAUGGGAGAUCCUUGGAAGGAAACAGUAAGGAAGAUGGUGUGACCAAAGCUUCUAGAGAUCUGGAGAGUAGUAAAAGAAAAUGUUAGAAAUGGUGGACAGCAGACAUGAUAGUAUGUGCAAAACAUGAUAGUAUAGAGUUAGAAUUUUAUUAUAAAUGCAAUAAGAAACUAUUAAAUGCUUUAAGUAUCAUCUGACUUACAUGUUUAAAGUUCACAUUGACUGCUAUGUGGAGAAUAUGCUGAGGAGCAGAUAAGAGACAGGUUUAUCCAUGUUGUCUGGGAGGUGGCAGGGAAGGAACAGGGAAAACUAAAGUUUGCCAAGGGCAUGUAAUUUGAGCUACAUUCUGGAGUUUUGAGCAGGAAGAAUUUACUAAUGCAUUCUUUUGAGAUGGGAAAUGGGAGAUGAACAAGGAGUUUUAGUUGAGGCUAACUCGGACCUAUAAAUGACAAUGCUAUUUACUUAGUAAAGUUGGGAAUGAAACUGAUUAAGGAAUAACAGGGGGCUGGGGAUGUGGCUCAAGCAGUAGCGUGCUCGCCUGGCAUGCGUGCAGCCUGGGUUCAAUCCUCAGCACCACAUACAAACAAAGAUGUUGUGUCCGCCAAUAACUAAAAAAUAAAUAUUAAAACUCUCUCUCUCUCUCUCUCUCUCUCUCUCUCUCUCCCCUCUCUUAAAAAAAAGGAAUAACAGUACAGGGCCUUCAUCUUGUAUAAACAUUGUGUUAAGUGCUGAUGUUGAAUGAAUUUAUUAUUUUUCACACAAACCCUGAAUAAACAUCUGAAUUAUCAGAUGGAAAAGUGAGGCUUUGGGAUUUUAAAUAACUUAUUCAUGUUCUGUUAUGUGGCAAAUAUGAAACUCAUACCCAGGUCUCUUUAUUGAAGUAUCAUUUUCUCAACUUCUAGUUCAAAUAAUGUAAACUACUGAUUCCAAACAGCACACCCUAGCAAAUCAAAGGGAAUUUUUUUAAUUUUACCUCUUAAGAUUGAACUCUGGAGCUGUUAGCUCAACCUUAAGUAUAUAGCACAUAAACAUAACCUCUUGUUCAUUUCUUAUUCUGUUUCAUUAUUUCCUAAACAGUAAUAUUGGCUAUUUCCUGUGCUUUCUGCUAUUUUUUAUUUUUGGUUCCAAAUAUCCUUUUUAAAAAUUCCUUUCCCUCUACUUACCGGAAUGUCUAUAUUUAUACUUUAUCUAUUCCUCUUUAGGCUCUCCAAAUGACACUUCUGAAUUCAAAUUUAUAUUCACAUAGAUGUUAAGGGUGUAGAAGUAGUGGUAGUGAUGGCGGUGAUGUUGGUAGUAGUGGUGGUGAUGGUGGCAGUGAUGGUUUUACUGGUAAUGACAUUAUGGAGACAUUUAUGAUAGUGGUGGAAGAGUAAUAGUAGUUAUGAUGGUUAUGGUGAAAAUAGUGGAAAAUUUCCUAGUGAUGGUAAUAAUAGUAGUUGCAGUGAUUAUGGUGUUCAUGAUUGUAAUGCAGAAUGGUAGUGGUUAUGGUGACAGUAGUUCCCUUGUCUUUAAUAAAAGGUCACUAUUCAUCAGUCAUGUCACAACAAAAUAAAUUUUAAAAAACAAUGAAACCAAAUAACUUCUAUGAAUAUUCAUUGUAUUCCUUUAGACUCUUUGGGAGAGUAGAGUCUCUAUACUAUGUUGUGAGUAAAGAAGCUGAAAUGGCAAUGAUAAAAAUUCACAUUUAUUAAGUUCUUAUUGUGUGUACAUAUUGAGGCACUCUCUCUGUUGACAUAUUUAAUUCUCCCCAAAUAACCUAUGUUUAGCCUCACUUUAUGAAUGAAGCCACUAAGGUAGGCAGAGACUAAACAGAUUGUCUAAUUCUGCACACCUAUUAAGUGGCAGAGUAGAAACUGAAACUCAGGUGGCCUGGCUCCAGAGUCCUCAUUCUUCAUCACUGCGCUUACGGUGGACCUCACCCUGGAAAGACCCCAGUGUACCCAAAUGAGCCACCUCCAGAAUGUGACCAUUUACAAAUCACUUACUGACCUUCUCCAGCUUUAAAAAAACUAUGUCUAUUGAAAUUUAAAUAGUGUUUAAGAAUAAUUGUAGCUUAUUUCACAUAGCACUUUUGAUGAUACUUGUAACUUUUAUUUUAGUUAGUAAUAGUAUAUUCAUUUCACUUCUUAAUUAUCAUGAUCAACAAUUGUUAUUUUAGUAAUAAUGUGUAUAUAAUUUACAUUUAAUUUUCUCUUCUCGUAAAUUCACUUACUCAUUUAUGCACUGCAGCCUACACUGGGCCAAGAACUGUACUAGACUGUGGCUCAUUAUUGUUAUUUCACAUUCUGGCUCAUUCUGUUUUUCCUAGAACCACAUGGAGUUCUAAACUUUAAAUUUCAUUUUAAUUGAAGAGAAUAUUUAAUAUCCAUAGCAUUAGUAUGAUUUAACUAGAAAGUGUUUUAUUUUCUUCAAUCAAUAACACAAUAUUUUUCUUACAGAACAUAAGAAUUGGUAGAAUGUUAAAAUUCUUUGCUGAAUUUAAAUACCCAUGAGCUAAUAUUCAAGUUAUGAAGAGUUUCUCUAGAUAUAAUUUUAGAAGAAAGCAGAAGUUUUAUUUUUCUUUAAAUAGAAUAUAUAAAAUAGAAGGACAAGCAAUAAAUGUCUUGAUUCAAAAUCCAUAAAUAUUUUUUUAAAAAUCAGGAUAACACAGGUUCUUAAGAUGGCUGGUGGUGGUGCAUAACAAUGUGAAAGUAUUUAAUGCUAAUGAACUUAAAAAUGUAAAGUUAAAAUGGUAAGUUCAUAUAUAUAUAUAUAUAUAUAUAUAUACACACACAAUAAAAAGUGACUUAAGAAACAAUGUAAUAUUUGUUUAUAAACUUUACUAAUCCUGACUUCAAAAUAUGAAGAAAGGCAAAGACAAAAAAGUUUUAAAUUUGCCCUUGAAAUAUAUAUUUUUAAAUUAUUUUUAUGACUUUCUAAAUUCUCUCACUGAAAAUCAAUCUACAGAAGUUUGUUAAAUAUCCCUGUGUUCACAGUAUUGUAAUAAUCACCAAGUUAACAAAGAAUAUAUUUUAGCCAUAUAACAAUUUAGUCAUGCAAAUAAGCAUAUUUAACUUAAGAGGAUCUUAAUUCUAGAAUAAUGUAUAUUAAAAUGUUCUAGAAGAACCUGUAUUCGGGCUGGACUCCAGAGUGAAAUUAUUUCUACCUUCUUCCUCCUGUGAUCCUUUCUCCUGAAUACAGAGAACAUAUUGACUCUGUUGUCCUUAUAUUCCUAAAACAGGAAGAAGAACAGCUGGGGUGAGAGAAGAAGAGAGUUACAUGAUAGGAUAGGGGAGAACAAAGAUUAGGUCUAGCUUUAUUUUGUAUCUGUACACACAACACCCAUUAACUCUCCAAAUUUUACAAUUGAUGGGUGCCCAGAAAAUUUUUUUUAAGUUAGAAGUGACUGCACAUGGAAUCAGAAACUUCAAAUUCAGUAUAACCAAAAUGGAUUGUUCAUCUGCCUCUUCUUCCUGUUCCCCAAAUACUGACCUCUUCUCAUAUCCCAGAUCUGCUGCUUUUCUCUAUAUUAUUUUGAUUUAGUGGAACCCAGUGUUUUCUUAGCUAGCAAUCUGAGAGUCAUACUAUGCUUAUUUAUAUACUCCCAAAUUCAAUUACCGUGCCCACUUAAUGAUAUGACCUAUUUCUAGAAUCUUUUCUUCCAGUCCUACUACCACUGUCAUAGACUUGGCGCAUUACGUUUCUCUCAUUGCUGGCAAAUAUUACAUAUAUUCUUCCACCUCCAUUUUUUGUUCUAUUUUAAAUAAUCCUUCACAUUUCCAUGAGAAUGAUCACUAUAAAAUACUAAUUUCACCAUGAUACUUUCUACUUAAAAUUCUUUAAUUACUUUCUAUCUGAUAAAUAUAAUAAUUUGAGACAGAUUUCCUAUUUUACCAACUUCAUCUCCUGUUUCAAUUUUACCUUUUCAUAUACUUCUCCCUUGUUCAAAGAAACUUUUCCUCUUAUUUAGUUGAAUGGCAUCAACUGAUCCUUUGAAACUCCUUCUGAGCCUCCCCUCCUCCACAAAGCCUGCCUGAGCUCUGCCCUUCUGCUCCUGCACCCAUUCUAACACGAACCCACCUGCAAACUCAGCCUCCAUGGUCAGUAGCUCUAAAAUUAUGUUGAAAUAAUGUUUUGCUGCUUUUCUGAGGUUAUAAGCCCAAAUUUUUGCCAGCUUAGUACAGCCAGAGUAUAGCACUGUGCCUCAAAUAUGAUUUGAUUGCCAAUACCAAGUGCAUUUUGAAUUUGUGAAUUUCUUAAACACUUCAUGGGGUAGUAUCACAUUUUUAAAAAUGCUUUCUACUAAAUCUUUUUUCACUGAACAUAAUGUAGUUUGGCUAGCAAUUCAUUCACAUAUUUUUCAUAUAUAAAUAUAUGUAAAAGUUAUUUUGAGUUAUCUUUAUUCAUUAUAUUCUCAAAGCAAAGAUUUGAAUGUAUCAGAGAAGAUAUACUUUCCCAACUCCCAAGAUGUAAUCCUUCUGUUUCCUGGUAUGGUACAACUAAACUUCCUUGGGCUACUUCCUUUUACUUAUCCAUUGUGUAUUUGUGUUAGUCAGCUUUUCCUCACUGUGACAAACACCUGAGAAAAACUACUUAAAAGAAGAAAGAUUUAUUUGGGCUCACAGUUUCAGAGGUCUCAGUGAAGUGCAUGCUGGAUGGCUCCAUUGCUUUGGGUCUGAGGGGCAGUACAAUAUCAUGGUGAAAGGGUGUGGCAGAGGAAAGCUGUUCUACUCUUAGUAGCUUGGAAGCAGAGAGAAAGACAGGAAGGGGCUGCUGAUAAGAUAAAGGCUUCCAGGGCAUGCCCCUCUUGACCCACUUUAUCCAAUUAGGUCUCAUUUCCUAAGGUUUCUACCACCUCAGAAUAAUGCCAUCAGAUCAUGACUCCCAUUCCAAUCACCUCCCACCUCUAAACGUGGUAGCACUGGGGCCAUCAAAAGAUGAGCCCCUCAAGGACGUUUCUGAUUCAAACUAUAACAGUAUUUAUUGUACAGAUUCUUUGACAUAUAAUAGGCCUGUAUUAGUUAUUAUCUGUUACACUUUUAUGAAAUAUAAUACCAAUUAGGUUUUAAUGCAGGAUCCCUUUGGUGCAUUGUCUAGAAUAAGGUAGAGAAAAUUCCUGAAACUUUCUCCUACAUCAUAGAGAAUUCGAAGGAAUUUAUUCAUGAUCAUAAGCUAAAUGGUGAAACAACAAACCACAGGUGAUAUAUGAGGACUCAUCAAAGUGACAACUGCAGCCACAGUAACUUCUGGAAAGCAUUUAUGUGUAUAGGUCUUCCUUUGCCCUUCUAGGUACCUUUCCUGGUAUAUACCUCUCUGGAUCCUGAACCUACUCACCCAAUCUCAGCUUCUCGUGUGUAAAUACUUUCAAGAUGCCACACAGCCCUGACCUAGCACUUAGCUGCUCCCUGCUGAGUCUGGUGGUCUUGCUGCCUGGAGAAUUUGAUCCCUGUUAUUCCUGAGGCCUCCUGCUGCUCUGAUUUUCCCUAUGAACACUGUUCAAUGAAACACAAUUUUCUGACUGGAAUGACAGUUCCCUCCACUGAUUCUAGCACUUCCUUGACUUGAACACUUGGGCUUUGCUUGCACACUUAUCUAGAAAGAUGGGAUCUUUUCCCCUUACCCAGUUACUACAGGUACCUGUAUAAAAUAAAUAAAUAAAUAAAUAUAUAUAUAUAUAUAUAUAUAUAUAUAUAUAUAUAUAUAUAUAUAUAUAUCUUCAUUUUGGCCCUUGUUUUCAUAAACUCCAGCACAAUUUUAAAAUUGUAAAGAGGAACAGUGCAGGCCUAAUAUAUCUCAGUUUUGUGUUUAAUUAUUAAAAAUAAUCAUAAUUGUAAGAUGUUAUUUAAUCUUUUUUUUUAGAGAGAGAGAGAGAUAAUUUUUUUAAUAUUUAUUUUUUAGUUUUCGGCUGACACAACAUCUUUGUUUGUAUGUGGUGCUGAGGAUCGAACCAGGCCGCAUGCAUGCCAGGCGAGUGCGCCAGCGCUUGAUCCACAUCCCCAGCCCAUAUUUAAUCUUUAAUCACUUGCUAGAUUCCAUUAAUCUCAGGCCACUGAUACUGAUAAUGAAAGAUUUUGUAAAUGUAAAUUUUUCCAGGCCCAGAAAUUUACUGCUAAGUAGAUGAAGGCCAAUAGAUUUUUCUAGACAUUUUAAAGGACUAGAGAUAUUUAAGGGGAACCUUUGUCUCAAUACCUAAUGUUUAUUAAAUGUAUACCAUAUACUAUUUUCUGUUCAGUGUGCUAAUAUUCAUAAAUAAUUUAAUCUUAAGUAGAGUUAUUAUAAUCUCCAUAUCAUAAAUUUUAAAAAACUGGUAGCCCGAGAAGUCAAGUAACUUGCCCAAGGUUACAUAGUAAGAGUAAGCAGGCUAUGGGUCUCUACUGCCUUCUCCUAAUUAUGAUGCUUGCUGCUUCACUCAGUGCUUCUUCAGAGUCUUAAUGUAUCUCUAAAGUAAUAAUCAGCUAAAACACAUUAUUUAUAACAGAAUUCAAUCUUUAUUAGCUUAUUUAUAUUUUUGAUCUUUUUAUGUUUUGCUUCUCAGUGUAGCACAGCCAUCCCUCACAUUACUGCCAGAAUUACUACUGAAUACCACAGCUGUGAUACCUUGCAUCCCUUGAUUCAAGUCCAUUACCUCCUUAUUUCACAUAGCAUACAAUUCAGAAUCCACAUCAUGGUCUUAAAUUAUACCCCCAACACUAGCACCAGCCUGGCAUGUUGCAUAGGGACCACUUCUGGAAGAUUCAUACUUACACUGUUAUGGGUGGAGAUUCCUCAGUUUUUGUCUUCACCCCCAAAAAAAACUUAAAAUCAAAAUACACAGAGAGCAGAUGAGAAUAAGUAAGCAUGUUGCUUUAUUUAACAAAACAAAAGUACACCCCAGAGAGCAUGGAGUUGGCCAUUUCAAGAGAAAGGGGUGGUCUUCUGCACUGUAAGGUUUUAAGUUCUGCUUGGUAUCCUCCUUGCUCAGGAGUUAUUCAGUUUGGGUGGGAUGAUUACACCUGCCUAAGUUUCUGCACCUGUACCAAUUUUACUGUGUCAGAACUGUUCCUAUCACUGCCUAAAUAAAAUGAAGGUGGGGGUGGUGAGUGGGGAGAGAUGUCACCAAAGACUAUGGAACUCCUGACAAAACUCAAUGCAAACAAUAGGAUUAUGAUCCCAAGGUCAUCUACCACUAGUCCCUUGGAGGAUGAUUGUAUCCUUUCUUCAGAUUGACAGAGAGCUGUUGGUGCACAAGUUGGUCUGUGGGGAGAUAUAGCAGCCAGCUGGGUGCCACCCAGGGGUGGAACCUGAAUUUUCCUUCCACACUUUUGUUUACAUCUAUCUAGCUACCUGCUCUAACAAUACUGCUUCCUUCUGUAUUGUGCCUAAAAUUCCCAUUCUGUUUUGUGGUUUAGAAAUAAAUUCAUUCUCUAGCUUCCAGACAAGCUUCAGGAAAUCUAUAGCUUCUUCCAACAGUUCUCUGAAACCCAUGGUUUGCACUUUUUUCAUCUUAUCUUACCAGUGGUUUAUUAUAUUUAUAUACUUAAUGUUUCCCUUUUACUCAGAUUGCCUGAAUGAAUUAUUCUCUUUUGUUAGGAUAUAUGUAUUUUUAAAGUUACUUCAAAAUCUUUCUGGACAAUGAUGGGAUUAUAGAUACUUGCAUACACACAAAUUUAAAAAAAAAAAGGCUCUUCUUCAAUGCCAAGUUUAAAAGCACUUUCCUCCUGAAGUCUCUUUAACUCCCCAUCUGUCUGAAAUAUUUGCCUGAUCCUUUGUACUUCUGUGACUCUGCUAAUAUCUCCAUGGUGUCCAAACCCACAAGCUUCUCUCUCCGCUAGUGUGUGUGUGCAUCCAGCUCUUCUGACCUAACUGUAAGCAUUUUAAGAUUUCUUCUUUAUUUCCCCUUUACACCUUGCAUACUGUCUUUUACAUAAUAUGAUUUCCAGUAAGUCCACAAUCAUUUGAAUCAUUGCUUGCACUAUGUAAUAUGUCAGUUUUCUCAGGUUGCUUUUAAACUUUUUAAUUUGUUCUUAGUUUUCAGCAGUUUGAUUUUGAUGAGUCUGGGCAUGGAUUUCUUUGAGCCUAUACUAGUUGAGUUUUACUGAGUUUUAUGUGUCUGUAGAUUUAUGUUUUGCCAAAUCAGGAAGUUUUCAGUCAUUAUUUCUUCAAAUACUGAUUUCUACAUAACACUCUUUCUCCUCUUCUAAAACUCUGAUGACAUGUACAUAUUACAUACUUUAUUGUCUCAGAGCUCUGAGCCUGUUCAUUCUUUUUUCUUUCCUCUGGUUCUUUCUAUUAUUUAGAUAGGAUAAUAAACAUUUCCUUCAUUCAAGUUCAUUGCUGUUUUCCCCUCUUAUCUCCAUUUUAUCCUUGAGCCUAAAAACUUACAGUUUUUGUUUUGAUAAUUGUAUUUUUCAGUUUUAAAUUGAAUUUUCAGUUGUACAAUUUUCCAAUGAUUCCUUUUAUAUCUUCUAUUUCUCACCUACCACUUUCUGUCUUUACUCUUGAAGUGUCUCCCAUUAUUUCUUGGAACAUGAUUAUAAUAGCUGCUAACUCCUUGUUUGUUAAUCCCAACAAUUAUAUCAUCUCAAGGCUUGUAUCACUGGGUGUCUUAUACCAUAUACGUUUUUGAAAUAUUCCUGGUUCUUUUUAUUUUGAGAAAUUAUGAGUUAUGUCCUGAACAUCUUAAAUAUCAUGUUUUGAGGGCCUGGCUAUUAUUUAAUUCCCAUGGGGAAUAUUGCUUUGCUGUUGUCAUUAUUGUUAUUCUAGCAGGUGCCUUACCAGGUUAGGUUCAGGUCACAGAUGUUAAUUCAUCUUCUAUAAGUUGUGGCCCUGAUAUCAGCUCAGUUUUCAAAGUAUUUGUAAUAUUGUUCAGAUUUAUAUUUCAUGUAAAAGAUCUAUAUGUCUGUCUGGACUCCCGAUGGUAGCCUACACUCUAAUUCAGUUAUAAGUUAUCAGUAUUCUGUUUAAGGUCACAUCCAGGCCUAGUCAAAUAAAGAGAAAAUUCAGGGAAUUCUACAAAGCUUGGCAGGAUAUCUUGCUUGAGCUCCCUCCUCUCCAUGAUCUCUCUAAUGUUUUUCAUUUCAUGUAGUCUCAUGUUCUAGCAAGAAUCCAAGAGUUUAGUUUUUCUGCUCUGCCAUGUAUUUCCUGAAGUAGCAUCUUCCUCCAGGAUGGCAAGGGGAUACAGAGAGAAAGAAAGAAAUAGGAGAUCCCUAUUGAGCCCAUAAUUCCUUUAAUGAGUUAAAGUCUGUCCUGCACUAAAGUGUUAGGCACCUGCCGCUACUAUGUAAUCAGCUAUGGACCUGUGUUGGUAGAGAUUGUGGUAGGGUUGGUGUACAACACUUUAUUUUCCUUACUGUCUUUGGUCUGAAGGGCUUUACUCUCCUAUUCUUUAAAUGAGAAAGAUAGGAUUUUCCUUGAAACUCUAUGUAUACCUGGUAUACAGUGCCCAAUAUAAAUAAAGAAGCUCCAGUUAAGUCCAAGCCAGGAGAUACAAGAAGGGAGAAACAACAGCAGGAACAUCAUCACUAAUUCUGUAGCAUUUAGUGUUCUGACAUUUUUCCCUAAUCUGUCUGUUAUUAUUUACUUUUUGGUAUCCUCAGACAGAGGCUUGGUGUAGGAUGUUCAGGGUUUAUAGCCAUAUCCAGUGGGAGCAACAGAAUAGAGUGUACUUACUCCCUCUUGGCUAGACCUGAAAUCAUCCCCUAUGUCCUUAGAUGUUAUAUUGCUCAUGGCUCUUCUUAGAUGUGACUGAAUUCUCUCCAAGAGUCAGCAUUUCAUCAGCCUAUCACUCAUGCAUGUUUAUCCACUAACUUGUGGAUUUCACAAUAUAUUUCGCAUUUUCAUAUCACUUAAAAAAUACUAGCUAUAUCUAAUAAAUCUUUUAAAUCUUUAAUCUUAAUGUCAUACCCAUUUUGAUAAACUGUCUUUAAUUUUUUUCUACUCCUCUGUCCUAUAGUCAGCCAAUUUGAGACAGCAUCUACCUCAUUGUUUAAGAGAAAAUAAUAUGGCCCCAAAGCACAGCUCUUUUAUUUACCUCUAAAGAUAAGAUUAAGAUUUUAGAUAUUUCUCUGUAUCAAGAAUGAUGUAUAUGACCACAUGGGGUUUUUGUUUUCCAUUACUUUAUAGACAGAGACAUUCAUUUUAAGACUGCUAUUAGUUAUCUGUUAGUAUGGGAGACUUCUAGACUUGGAUGCAAGCUUAGGUGAUCCAAGGUCAAGAAGCAAAGAGUUCUGUGACUGGGACUUUCUAACCUGUUUUUCUACUCUUAAACCUGUCAUCAGUCCAUUAAGCCUGUUUGCCUAAGGAUAAAAAGUUCAGAAGAGGAAAUGCCAUAUUUCUGAAGCGUCCUAAAGUACACUGUGAUGAAAAAGGGAACAUCUAGUUGUAAAGCAGGUAGCCAGUCCAGUGAGGCGCCUUUCCAUGUGGACAUUCCCUAGUAGUUCUGUAACUAGAAAGUGUCAAACAGAACAUUUACAUUUAAAAACAAAAAUAAGCCAUUUUAAGAGGAUACUGCUUUAAUGACCCUCUCAAAGAUCCAAAGUUGAAUAUCAUGAAAAUCCUUUUUAUUUUGUAAUAGUAUUUAGAAGAGCAUUUCAUCUAAUAUCAUAUUAGAAGAUACAUUGACAUCUGCUAAUUUUCCCCAUAGUUUGUGCUUAUACCUCCCGUUUGAUUAUUAGCUAAAUAAUAAGUUUUCUUAAUGUCAACUCACAGGUAGAUCUAUGUUUCCUGCCAAGAACCUGGCAAAACCUAAAUUUAAACAGUACACAGGGAAAGACUUAUGAGAAAAUGGAGCAAUUUUGAAAAGUAGGCAAAUAGCUAGAAUUUGUCCUUUUUUACAGUAGGUAGAUCUCCUUAUGCCUAAUACCUAAGCUAACUAACCAAAGACCUGAAGACUAAAAACAAAUUAGAAGUUAUAGUCUUACUACUCUCUUAUUACAGAAGUUUUAUUAAAACUUCUGUUUUCAGCUUUUUAUUUAAGACCUAUUCUAGGUUUCACUAUUUUAAAAGUUAUUUUGAGGAAGCUGGCAUCUGCAAGUGAAAUAGUCAACUUUUCUUGCACUUUAGCAGAAAUUAAAUGCAGUCAGAAGUUAAAAAUAUUUUUCACUCCUUGAAAGCAAUGUUUCAUUCGAUUCCUAUAAGGAGGGAGGGAAAAACUACUUAGGAAAAUUACUAUGUUAAGAAAGAGUGUCACAAUGGGUAGAAAGUAGGAAUGAGGGCCAGAGUCCAAGGUUAGGUCUUCUAUUAUAUCAGUGACUUCUGGAUUUCAGAGAGUUACUUAAUGGAUUUUCUUGAAACUGUUUCCUUAUUCCUAAAAUGAGUUACUACACAUCACAAGGAAAUAUUUAAAUGUUCUUGAAAAUUGUUAUAUCACAUUUAGCAACACAGAGAAAGCAUUGAUUUUAGGGUGUAUAUUGUUAUAUUUAAUAAUUCAUCUAGAUUUCUUUAAUUUUAUAAUUUAGACCAACUUCCCUAUAAUCCUGAAUUAUGCAACGGGAAAAUAAGAGUCAAACCCAUAUUAUUUUAUGUUAGAACAAAAUUUGACACUUUAAGUUUGGCUAAUAAAUCUUUAAAUAUUAUGAAAAUAGACACUUAUUGUUUUCAUAUUAUCAUUUACAGAUAAACUCAUUUUAGGAAAAGACAGCAUUUUGUUGUAAUAUAUAACAUCAUUAAUAAUCAUCUAAAAAGUAAAUUAUGUUAAAAUUUAUUCAGAAUACAAUAAUGCUAUGAAAGUUAUCUGCAAAUUUACCAAACCUGAAUCUCCCAAGACCCUUGCAUUAAACUGAUUAAAUACUAUAAAAUAAUGUUUAAUGUACCAGGUUGAUUUCCUAAUAAUCAGUCUUGUUGUGAAAAUUUGAUAAAAGUAUUAUUUUCUUAUUAAAAGUUAGACAGCUAUUGAAACUUAGCACUUGCUGGCUUAGUAGACACACUUUUUAAAGAAUGUUAAGCUGCUCUAAUGACUUUCUUUCAAAAGAGAAAAAAAUUCAACAAGGGAAUGUGCUGUAUUUUCAGUCAUGGAAGAAAAAUAGUAACCCAUAAAUUAUCUGGAGGAAAAUAUUUAACAUGCAGGUACAGAUAAUGAACAUUUUCCUGUGCCUAGAAAUUGCAAUGUGUCUAAUAUUUAAAUAGUGAAUAAUGAGAAAGUUUAAAAAAGGAAAUACUACAGUUUGUUAUUUAAUGAGCCUACAUCCUGGUAUUUUGAGGAAUAGAAAAUUAAAUUACAGUCAUCUGCCAUCUUAAAACAUUUGAACAAUCAGACUGCUGUUCUAGUGGGCACACUGUAGGCUUUUAAGGUGUGAGUGGUACUAUACCCUAAAAGCAGUUAAAUAAAACAUAGAUUAAAAGCACCCUUUUACCUAAAUCUUAAUUGGUAAAUACUUUUGCAUAAAUUUACAUUUCUAAACCUUAAUUUUUUUCCAAAGACUGACACAUUUGUGUUUAGUUGGGCAUUAUUUUGUGUGUUCCCCUGUUACUUAUGCAUUAAUUAGUUUUGUUUACCUAUGCAUAAUUUUUCUUAAUUUUACAACAGUUGUUGUUUUUUUGUAAUUGACAAUGCAAUUUACUGCAUGUGUGCUUUCUGGCCCCCAAACAAGAAUGUUAAGGUGUAAAGCACCAAUCUCUUCAUUUCAGGUUGUUAAAAAAAAAAAAAAAUUGGAUGAGACUGAUUUCCAAUUAAUUUGCAGUGGUUACAGGGGAACAAAACAAUUGCACCUACUAAUUAAAAUUUAAAAUAUUCCAAAGUGUCAUCUUUAGGUGUCUCUGGAAUAUGUAAUUUCCAUUUCGGUUCAUAGCUGGAUCUGUAGAACCCGUGAGCUUGACAGCUGUAUUAAGUUAAAGGCUCAGUAAUACCUAUUAGUACAAAACAUGAAAAAAAAAUACCAUUAAUCAUUUAUUUUAAUUUUGCAGCUCUGUCAUUUUCUCAGUAUGUUUUAAAAUUAUGAUGACACCAUAAUGUGCACAAAUCGACCUGGAUGAAGGGGAAACGGAUCCACUACUUAGGGAAGUUACUGAAGUACAUUAUUAGAGCUUAAUUAAUGCCAAACUGAUUAAAUUUGAUUGCAUUUUGCACAAAAAUAUUUUAAAGAUUGUUUUCUUCCUACAUUAUAUUUUAAAAGCUUUACCAAAUGUUGUAUUUAUAAUUGGGCUUUAACUUUUUAUACUUCUUUUAUAUAUUUUAUUUAAAUAUUAUACAUAAGCAUAAAUUGGUCUUCUAUUUAUUUUGAAAGUUAUUGGUUUCAAUUUUGAGAAAUUCAUUUCACUUUGGUUAAAAGAUAAUAAUCUCUCAUUUUUGUAGUCUCCAACAGUAACUCCAAAGCCAGUUGAACACAAUAUGCAAAAUUGAAAAGAGACAUGCUAAAUCUGUAAUAAAUUUUGCAUUCAUAUUGAUAUGGACAUAGACUGUAAAUGUGCUAAAAGGGAUGAAAUUGUUGUACCCAAUGGACUUUUAAGCUUUCAAGAGGACCAAUAUUCACAUCUAGUUCAAACUUGAGUUCCUCUAAAAUGGGUACAGUUAGAAGUAAUCUCCUUGUUGGUGGAAAUUGUCAACUAAUUCACAGUUUCAAUUUCUUUCAGCAGUUGGAAAUCUGUCUUCUGGUGGAUACAGACAAUAGAAUCACCAGACCUGAGUUUGACUUUUCUCUCACACUUGCCUUCUGAUCACACUUUAUUUAUCUCUUUGUUUUCUUUGAUUUUUCUGUAUUAAAAUUAGGAAAUGAGGCCAAAAACAUAUUCUAAGCUUUUUGUUAAGAGGCAACAAUCUGUAUUGUUCAAAAUUUUAAUGAGUAAGCCUUCUUAUCUGUUAAUAAAAACUGGUCCAGUGUUUUACAAAGGUUCCUACCCAUUUAAAAAAAAAUAUAUACAUGGACUUAAAACCCCUCUAGGAAAUAAACUAAAAAUAAUUUUAUAACUUAUUGUUUUUAUUUCUUUGGAUAUUCAGAACACAUUGCACAUGGUUCAUUUGAGGAUACUUAAGAAAUUCAAGGAAUUUUAACAUAUUCCAUUGUGUCAUCAUGAUAAUUCUGUGGAGUGAACAUGAUGGAUAUUAUUAAAUAAGAUGUUCAAACUAAUGAAUAAAAAUUAAUCAAAUAAGGCAGCUAUUUUACCCAAACCAUCUCAAGAAUAUUGGUGAGUAAUUUAACAAAUGCUUAUUGACAAAGCAUAUAUUAAUAACCCAAUAAUGUCUUAUCAACAUGAUGUGUAGACAACAAGUGCUGACAUUUUGUCCUAGAGUAUUACAAUGGAACAGCACAAAGAAAACCAAAACAAAAUGUGAUUUAUGAAGUCAGAGCAGGUAUAUAUUACCCACAUAUUCUCACAAAUAUAAGAUUUUAAUAAUGAUAUGAGGAUUAUGAAGGAAAAGUUCAUGGUACUGUGAACUGUGGUACUGUGGUUCAAUGGUACAAUAAGGAAGUGACAGAGAAUGAUUUUAUUUGGUCAAAAGAGAUCCAGAAAGCUUUCAAAAAUCUCACAGUGGACCUGAGAAAGAAAAGAUGAAGAAGAAAUGAUGAAGCCCAAAGGAAGGAAAGAGUGUCCUAUGCAGUGUGGGAAGGAGCCUGAUAUGACAAGGAUCUGAGAGAGAAAAUGAUAGAUAUGGGACAGAAACAGAUAUGGGGCCAAGCAGGAAAUUGUGUAAGAAUCAGAGCAGUAGGACCUUGAAGCCCAAAGGAGGAAUUUUUAGCCUUAGUUUCAGAGUCUCAUAGAAUUAAAGAAAAGUUUAAUCAGGAGAGAAUUGUUAGCUUACUUGCAUGGUGAAAAAAACAAUCUGGGUGGGGAAUGGAUUAAAAAGAUAGUCAAUGAGCAGUUAGAGGACUUUUGUAAUUCGACCUUAAAGUGUGGGAGUAAGGGGGCAAAAUCAAGAAAUACCCAACAUAUUUGAGGGAUAAAUCAAUUGACUUUGAUAAGCAGAUUGGUUAUGAGAGAUAAGAAAAAGACAGUAUCAAGGAUUAUCCUGGUUUCUAAAUUAUCUUGAGGAACUGAAUAGUGGUAGGACAAUUCUUUGAAAUAGAAUCCAGAAAACAAUCAGGUAGUUUUCUCCAUCUACUUUAGUACUAGUUCAACUGAAUUAUGCUCCCUAAUCAUUGACCUGGACACACUGUUGAGAAUAUCAGUUAUCAUUACACCAUUGAAUAUAUGUUUUAUGGAUAAGACAUCAAUACUGGGUAUCCAAUUUGAUUAACAUGUAAUGCUUUAACUUUGAGGGAGAAGAAAGUCUUUAGAUCAGUGCUAUAAUGUUCCAAAGAGAAAAGGAUAUGGCUGAAUCUAAGAAUUGGACUCCUGAUGACUAGUAAAUGCCCCACACUUUUUUCACCCUAAUCUUUCCUUUGAGUAGAAGUAGAAACUACCAUGUGGCAGGAAUUAUGCUGCCUGGUAUUUCACAGAGAAAGCAGAUAGCUAUAAUAUGCAAUUCCCCAGUGCCACCAAGAUAUUUUGAAAGCUUUGUCAUCUCAGAUAGAAGAUGGCUUAGCAAAAUGUGGUUUUAACUCAACUGUACAUAAUUACACUAAAAAUAAUAUGUAAAAUUUAUAAAGUACAUGUAUGACAUGUAUCAUUUAGUGCUUGCAGUGAUCCUACAAAGUAGGUGCUAUUCUUAUACUUCUUUAAUAAAUAUAGACUAAGGCUCUAAAACAGGAUAUCCAUUGGCCACCACCUUAUAGCUGGCCAUUGGCCAAGGUGAGAAUCAAACUGUUAUAUUAUAUCCCAAGUCUAUAUUCUGAAGCCCUAUGCUAGAUGAGAAAGACUACAUAGAAAAUUGUAUAUGAAACAUUAUUCAUUAAGAAAAUUAAAGCUUCUAGUUGCAAAUAUACCUUGGUUAUAAUCAGAAAGGAGAAUCUCACCACCAAAAUGUUUUCUUUUGUUCUGCUGUCGUUUUUCUUUCUUUCUUUUUUUUAUGUGACCAUAUAUUUGAAGAUGCCCUAUAAAAAGAUAAACAGAAAAACAGGGUUAAAAUUGUGGGUAUAAUUUCUCCAUAGAGACACUAGAAUAUUAAAAAUGGUUUCAAAUGUCUUUGACCUUCAUUGCCAACCAACUUAGAGCCAUAAAAAUAUUUUGGAAUGGAAAAUAAAAUUUAUAUCUUAAAAGAUGUUUCAGAUCUAGUUAUGACUAUUUUUCUUGCAAUGUGAUCAAAUAGCCCAUUACUUUCAGGAAAAAGGUUCUUCUUUUCCAUACAUAUUUAAAAUGCUUGUGAAUUUCAUCAGCAAAUAAACCUCUCAACCUCAUUUUUUAGUGACUUUGUUUUAAAUCUUCACAAUGAUUUCUCUGAAUUUGAUGUUAGAUCAAAGACUUUAAUAUUAAACUUGAAAAUUACUAUCAUUCCAGAAAAUAAUGGGUAGAAUCACAAAGAAGCUGGGAAGGGAUUUUAGAAAAUUAUGUUUCAUUGCCUUUCUUUUUUGGCAGUUAUGGACCUGAGAAAUUCAGCAUGCACUUUAUCCCUGCUGUCAUAUGGCUCAGCUACAUAUUUGAAUUCAAAAUAGUUUCCAUUAUUGAAAGGAUACAAUCUGAAGUAGCUUUUAAUGUUCUAGAUAAUUGCUAAAUUGUCUGCCCACACAUAUUCAAUGGCAUUUAUUUUCCGAAAAUCCCAUUUAUUUUAAGGUAGCUGAUUAAAUCCAGUAAUAAUGAACUCUCAAAGAGAUGAAGCAGGGAAAGAAAAUUUUGGCUAGAUUCAGAGAGAAUAUCUCUAUUUUUAUUUAUUGACUUGAUUAUUUAUUUAUUGGUACUAAAGAUUGAAUCCAGGGGUGCUUUACCACUGAGCUAUAUCCCGAUUCUUUUAACUUUUAAAUUUUUCAGAGAGGGUCUUGCUAAAUUGCUGAGGCUGAUCUGUAACUUGUGAUCCCUCUACCUUAGCCUCCUAAGUUCCUGGAAUUAUAGGCAUGUGCUACCACCCCCAGCUCCUAGACUCCUUACUUUUAUUUUAAAAGUAAGUUGCUAUGCACUGAGUUACUUUCAAAGAAUCAUGUUAUUAAGCUCACCCUAGUAUACAACAAUGAGAAUUAAUUAAAGACUUUAUGUACUUAAACAAAAUUUGAUCAGUUGGUAUAAUACUGAAAUCAAGGCAGUUAGUAUAUAUUCCAAUUCAGAUUUUUAACAAAAUAGAUUCCAAUGGUGGCACUCAGUAGAGCAAAGACAUGCCAUAGAAAAUUAUUUUCACUUUUAUCCAUAUUUUAGCUAUGAGCCCAAUAAAUCAUGAUUAUAAAUUAAAAUUUGUUCUUUCACUUUAUGUUUCAUAAUUCUAGGUUUACUUUUUAGUAUUUUACUUAAUAACAUCAAGUAUUAGCACAUUAUGACCUUAUGGGCCAAAAAUGACCAAUUUCUUAUUUUUGUACAGCUAAAGAGUUAAAAUGGUUUUCACAUUUAUAAAUGGUUGAAAAAAAAUAAAAUAUUUUAUAAUGAGAAAAUUAUGUGAAAUUCAAAUGUUAUUUCUUAAACAAAUUUUAUUGAAACAUGGCCACAGUCAUUUAUUUACAUAGAGUCUAAAAGUACCAAUGGUCUACAGUGGCACUGUAGGUUAAGACCACAUAGCCUAUAGUAUAAAAAACAUAUCUUCUAGCCCUUUACAGAAAAUAUUUGCCAAUCUCAGAAUUACAUGGAUAUCUACCUAAAGAUCCUACAUAUGUAGCUUUCAAAUAUGAUUAUUUCUGUGUUUAGAAUUAGGUUAAACAUUUUAAUACUUUACAUCCCUUAUAUGCAGACCAUUGUGAAUAACGUCAGCAUACAUGCAGCUUUGGCUUGAAUCUGCAAUGUCCUCUCCAAUCCCAAAGCUCACAUGUUGAAAGCAUUGCCUCCCAAUACAAUGAGUUUCAGAGGUGCAGCUUUUAGGCAGCAACUGGAUCAUUAGGGCUCAUCAGUGUAUUAAUCCAUCAAAUGAAUUGAUAACUGAAUGGACUAUUGGGAGGUGGGAAAUAAUUGGAUUAAGUAGUUCACUGGGGAUGUGCCCUGGAAGGGUGUUUUCCAUGAAUUCUCCUUUCUCUGCUUCUUGGCUGCCAUGAACUGUGUAGAAUUCCUCUACUACACCCUUCUGCCAUGAGGUUCUGCCUCAUCUUUAUGGCCCAGAGAAAUGGGGCUGGCCACCUAUGCACUAAUCCUCUGAAACCAGAAGGCACAAUAAACCUUUUCUCCUCUCAGUUGUUUCUGUUAUGAAUUUUGGUCACAGUGACACAAAACUAACUUAUACACAUGCAUAUUACUAGAUUAAUGGAAUAUUAAGUCUUCACCUUACUUAAUAAAAGAGAAAUAAGCCACACUGAAGAUGGAUUGGAAAUGUUUUCAUAAUGGCAUUUUUUUCCAUUUUUUCUCCUGCCUCUCCUGUUCUUUGUACUCAUAUUCUUCAUAGGAUAUCAUUCUCUUCCUUUAUCCUCUAAUUUCCAUACUCCCAAGUAACAAAGUCUAACAUCUGCUGUUUAUAUUUGCUAUACCAUUCUUCAGUAAUCUAAGUGAAUGAUAUUACUAUAUGUGUAGCAAAACUAAAUCUGUCUGAAGACCUAUUCCCCAUUCUAAACACCAGACUCACAUUUUCAAAAAAUCUUGAACCUCUCCUUUAAAAUGUCACAUUCAACUCUGACUUCACUAACUUUCUGAUUCUCAUCCCUGCCAAAAAAAAAAAAUGCUUAUUUUGCUAUAAAAUAGUGUCACUUCACAACUAACAACUAAUACCCAAAGCAUGGGAAUCAUACUAGAAAUUUUUCCUUUUCCAAUAUACCACACAUCCAGUCAUCUGCUUCAGCCUAUAGAUUUUUCCUCCUGAAUGCCUUUUAUAUAUGCCCCCUACUGCAAUGUCUUUGGCACUACCAUAACUAAAGUUCUUGAAAUUCUUUUCUGAAUUACUACAUUAACCGUAUACCUCCUUUUCCUGCCUCAGGUCUUGCACCCAACCCUUAAUUUAUGAUGGUGUGACUGAAACUCCUUUAAUUACAUCACUGUCCUUCUACCAUGAUCCUAAUUUUGUGUGUGUGUGUGUUACAAACUGAAAUGAUCUCUAUAGCACAACAUGUAUACAUAUUUCUCACUGUCAUUAGACUAGAAAAUUCAUAGGUUAAGAAAAGAAAAAGGCUAUUUAACUUGAAAUCUCCAGCACUAAAUGAAAAUUAGGUGGUACCUAGAAGAUUAAGAAUAAAGAUAACAAGUAAUUGAAAAUAUUUGUUUUGUUACUAUUAAUUCUCAGUCAUAUUUUGGGAUGCUAUUCUCUUUCAGUCAGCAGUGAUUUAUUGACCUUGCCUCUUAGGAAGAAAAUAAAAUGACAUAUGGACCCAGGCUUCCCAAAUUUAAACAUGCAUAUAAAUCAUGUGUGAUUCUUGUUAUAAAGUAGAAUCUGAUUCAGAAGUUAUGGGGAAUCUGUAUUUCUUAAGAAUGAUGUAAGUGCCUUGUUUUUGGACUGCAUUUGAAGAACUAAGAACACUGGGAUACAAUAUAAUCACUGCAUAGGGAAUUUUUAAAGUUAUUUAACAUUUAUAUCAAGAUAAUAUUUGAAAAACUACAAUUAUAGACUUGUCUCAUCAAUAGUACUGUGUCACAAGUCCAUUCCUCAGAUGAACUGUUCUGAUUCUUCUAAUAGUUUACUCCAUAUGUGUAAGUAAUUUUCUGUUAAUUUUGUGUUAGUUUUAGGUACACUGUAUUUAAUUCAUUUUGUGGAGAGAUGGUUUUUAACACUAACAUUACUCUAAUUCUCCUACUAAUAAUUAACAGUUAAUGAGUGCUUUUUAUGUGCCAAAUAACAUUCUAAGCAUUUUGUGUACAUCAAUUCAUUUAUGUUUACAGGAAACCAAUAAGACACUAUAUUAAAAUCUUUACAGUACCAAUGAGAGAAAUGAAUGACAACAAUAUCCCAAAAGUCCCAGAUAGCAAACAAUGGAUAUAAAACUCAGCCCAGAAUAAAAGCCAAAUAAAUACUUUAUUCUUACUAUUAGUCUUUGAAAAAAUUAAUUGAUAAAUAAUAAUUGCAUAUAUUUGUGCUAGCAUUUUUACUAUUAGGAGCUAAAGCUAGCACACUAUGCAACCUUAAUAAUAUUAACAGUUUACCACCAAAAAACAAUGCUUUUUAUCUUUGAUUUGGUUAUUGGUUUCUAUGUUAAAUCCUUGUUUCAUAAAACUAAAACCAAAAUCAAAUUUUUAAUCUCCAUAUUUUUAGAUAUGGACAAAAUUAAUUUGAAAUAGAAAGACAAAUAGAAAAACCAUGGGCAGCAGAAAUUCCUUUCUUCUGCUGCUGUUGGUUUCAAACUAGUAGAUGCUCAGGAGACAGGAAGAGUUUUGAUAGGGGAUCAUUCCAUUGACGACAACAUUUACCUUGCAGUUUUACGGCAAUGUUCUAACUUCUGCAGUCAUUCCAGGUUUAUCUCUAAUGGGUUCAUUUUUGCUUCUGCCCAAAUAUACAAAGACAUGUAAUUUUCCAAUGAGAGGAUAUGUGCAGAGAACCUGGACACAUUAUAGAUAUUUUGUGAAUGCUGGUUUUCUCCAUGUUACCUCCCCUCACCAAGAGGGAAAUAACCAGUUGUUUUUCAUUUCCAUGGACAGAUAAAAACGAUAUGGAAUUAAUUCUUUACAGAAAUAAAGUUAUAUUUUAAAAAGAGUUGUAUAUUUUGACCAAAAGUUAAACAAAGAAGUUAAACAGAGAAGUUAAACAAAGAAGAAACCAGAUUAUAAAUAAUUAUAAAAAUAGAACUGGCUGUUAAACUCUUUCGAAACAGAAAAAUAGAAGUGAAUUAUUAGUAACAAGGAUACAGAGUCAUAGUCUGUAAAGAGAUUUGAAUGAGAUACUGUUAUUUCAAAGGAAUAAGAACAUAUGAUUUCUUCUGAAGAAGGAUAUUCAAUAUAAAGAUACUCAUGAUCCAACAAAAUUCAAAUACCUAAAAAAAACCACACAAGAACAAAAAAAAAAUCUCAUAGGCAAUAAUUUGUGACAUCUUGGCUAUACUUUGUCAUAAAUUGAUGCUCAUUUUAUAUGUGACUAUAAAAAUAAAUUUCUUCCAAAGACUUAAUAACAAUUGAAUAAAAUUAUCUUAUCUUCUGAAAUGUCUUUAUACUAUACCUUUUAAAGGAGUUAGUCUAGCAAUUGUGAAUCAGAAAUAUGUCUUCUAAUUUUACCUGCUGUUUCAUUUGAUUUUAAGGUUAUCAUGUAAGUAAUAGGUAAUAACCACUUCCCCAGGUACUCAUUUAAAAAUAACAUUUUUUUUGCAUGUAUAAAUUGACUCAUUUUCAUUUCCAGCACAGAAAAAUACAGUGCCUUUGCUUAGCCUCCUAUUUCAGUGUGGAUAAUAAUAUUAAAUGUGCUUCCUCAAGUUCUCUGUCCUACUAGACUAUAACUUCUUGGGAGCAAAGAUUGUGUAUGGUCUAUUUAUUCUAAGUUCCUGGUAAAAUGUCCAAAGAAUAAUAGAGGCUGAGUAAAUUUUAUAAAACGAAUAAAUGAUGAUUGAUACUAUAUUAGAUCUUGUCUAAAGCUAGAAUUCAGAGGAGUUUAAAAAUCAAUGGCUUAAUAUUCAGUGUAAUCUAAAACAAUUAUUAAGAGAUAAAAUUUGGUAGAGACCAUUUUAAAUCUAUACAGACAGGUACAUUUUUGGCAUCUCAUCUGUGUGGCUAUCAUCUGCCCACUUCUUAAGAUAACAAAAAUAUAAUAAAGUAAGAUAUCCAGAGAUUUGGGGCCAGCUUAGCCUAGUGACCUUUUACAAGUGCAAUUUAUUUUUACAGUGAAAAGAAGAACACUGAACCCUUCUAGUAUAACCUGAUUCCAACAGACUUAAAUAAAGUUGUUCAUUCUUUCAAGGUUUCUCACUCCUGUCUUUAUAGGCUGUGAAGUGAAUUUCCAUUUGCCAAAAGCCUAGUACUGAUUUUAAUGAUCCUGUUCAUGUGACAAACUUUUUUCUUUUUGUUUCAUUGCUAUUAAUGAAUGACAAGUGAAGGAUAUUCAUUUUAACUUGAAAAUGUCAGGUAUGCACUUUAAGAGAUAUAUUUUUUGCAGGUUUUAAUGAGGUGGUGUUUCUUUUUGAAAGAAAUACUCAUCUCUGAUAGGGAUACCGUGCAGGUGACAACUGAUAUUUAAUAAGCGAUGGUUCUUGUAUCAGUCACAGUAAGCUAAAGAAAAUGUCUCAGAUUGCUUUUGAAAAACUCUUAGCGUCACUAGCCCAAAGGCAAGAUGUGACCUUUUUAUUACAUAAUGAGAAUCAUUUAUUAUCUUACAAUGUAUCUUAAAGUCACAGACAAAAUGCCACUUUGAUAAUUGCUUUCAAUUAGCUUUGAGCAUAGCAUAUAUUCAUAAAAUGUCUUCUCUAAUUUAGAGUUGAAUUAGAGAAAAUUGCAGACAUAAUCUACUUUAAGGUUGUCUCAUUUAAGGUGAUUCGUAGUUUUAUAUUAAAGAAAUCAAAACGAGUAGCUUUAGAACAGUCUCUCUAAGUGUUUUAAGCAGGCUUUUCAAUAUUUGAUUCUUUUCUAUUACCAAUUAAUUAACAAAUUAGAAAGCUAGUUCAUCAUUUCUGACCUUUUUUGCAUGUUAACUUUUGACUUUCAUUCUUAAUGAUUGUUUGGGAAUUAAACCUUGCAGUUCAUGUUGAAAGAAAGAAACAAUAUGAUUAGCAAGAUAAAUAAGGCUCUCCAACUAAGCACAUGUUAAUGUGGGGCCAUCACUGGGACUCUGGAUACAGUAAUGGUGCAUCUUUUCCUGCUUUCAAUAAAUAAUACAUAACUAAUGGUCAAGAAAUUAUAGUCAGUUAUCAUAUAGCCUAAAUAAAGAGUUUGGGGGUUUUACAGUACUACUAGCUAGGUUAGAGAUAACAUCAUAUUUAAAUGUGACUUCAGCUAAAUUUUAUUUUUUGUUAGUAUAUUUAGCAUUGGAAUAUUAUUUAAAUGCAUAUCCUGUUUCCUUUAAAAGUAUGUUAGAAAUUUUAAAAAAAAACUGAAAGGAAAUUUUACUCUUGUGGUGUUUCAGUAACAAAUGAAAUACUUUUAACCUUAGCAGGGAUUCUCUGAAAUCAGUAUUGUAUUUGGAGAUUACUCCUUCUCUCUCUCUCUCUCUUUUUUUCCUAGAUAAAAAUCACACACAAGAACCAAGCCCCAAUGCUGAUGGGCCCUCCUCCAAAAACCGGGUUAUUCUGCUCCCUCGUCAAAAGAACAAGAAACCGAAGCAAGGAAUAAUCUUCUAUGAUUUUGUUCUUAGAAAUUUAAUUAGAAUAAUUGGGCCAUGGAGCAUUUAUGCUGGAAAUCUUCAAACCAUUUCAAGUCUUCACUUCAUGCAAAAUCAUGGAAUUGGUUUAAUAGAUUGUGUUUCUGAGCUAAUGUAGAAUUCAUCUAUUAGAAAAUUUAUUGUCUCAGUUUUUAUAGGCACCUUUGCAUGAAGAAAGCAGAAGUUUACAUGAAGUGGUACUGCAUAUUUUUGUUGCAUGCAUUUCCAAAGAGUUUUAUGUCUCCCACUGCAUCUUACUCAAUUUCCAUUUAUUAAUCUGUGAGAAAAACCUGUGAAACGUGAAAAGGAAAUACCAUGGGAAACACAAGUCUCAGUGUGAUUCUAAUUAUUAAUAAGCAUUAAUCAGUAAUGCUGCAAUGAUCAUAGUUGCAGAUUGCUAUACUUUUCCCUCUUAGUGUAUCAAAUGAUCUUUGAUGACUUAAGGAGACACUUUUAACUCAAAAGUUCUAUUCAAUAGUUGUCUAUGAUACUAAAUAGUUUUUCUUCAACAUCUUAACUCUUCUGAGUGGAAAUAAAUAUCAGGUAUAAGAUUUUCUUGUGCUAAAAAAUAGAAAAUGUUUUUUUUAUUUUGUUCAUUGGUUUUUAAUUCCAAAAAAUGAAUUAAAAUAUGUUUCUUGGCAGUGAAGUGUGGUAAUAUGGCAAGCUUUAUCCCUUUCUGUAUGAGAAUAUAGAAGAAAAUUUAUAAUCACACCAGAAACCAAAUAGAUGUUUUAAAAUAUGUGCUUAAUUAAUGUGUUUCUCACCAAAUUUUCAGAAAAAGAUGCUUCAGAGAAAUGGGUUAAUGCAUAAUUAUAUGGAACAAAUUUAUGGUUCUUAUGAUUAAUUUUUGAGAGGUAACAUAUGGGAAGAGAGUGAGUUACCCAUUUAUUAUGAUCAAAAUUCUCACCUUUCAUAGACAAUAGGUCAUACAGCACAAAGCUUGAGCCAAUUUCUUGGUUAUUUGGUCCUUUAUAAAUAUAGAUGUCUUUAAUUUUUAAUGGAUCAGUUAAGUGCACUUGAAGAAAGUAAAUGAUUAUAUCAGUUCCCUUCUAGUAUAAAUUGGUAUCUGUAAUAAUAUUGAGCUCAUUGAAUCAAAUCAUGCAUGCAGUUAGCCCCCUCCCAUUCACGUAUUCCAGUCCCAUCUCUAUGACAUUUCAAAUGUUUAUUUGGAAAUAUUAAAUGGCCUAGAUCACUAUUUAAGGUGUUCAUGCACUGGUUGGGUUCUUUGAUUAUUUAAAGAAAUCAUGGAAUUACUACUUUUCUUAGUGUUUCUUUAAGCUUGUGAUAUAAAAUGAAAUGCUUCUGAGCAGUCUUGGUAUUGUUCAUUCAUAUUGACUUGCAUCUCAUCAUUGCAUGUUUUAUGUUUUCAAACAUGCCAUAAGGAAAACAAGUGCUUGAAAUGCAUGAUUUAUUAGUUUUCCUCUCCACUCUGCAUUAAAGUGCCAAUGAUUUAUCAGUUCUAUUUUUCUAUUGAUUCAUUCAUCUUUGAAUAACAAAUAGCAUUUAGUGAUUCUGUUGAACACAAUCCUGUGCAUGGAUUUAUGGAUUUCAAGUGAAAUUGCUAUAAUUUUAGUUCUUUGGUUUGAAAACUCAACUGAAUGCUGUUAUAUCAAAUAGCUACUAUCAAGCAAUGUGGUAUAAUGGAAGAUUAUGUAUAAAACAUACUCUUUUAGUGUUUCAGGAACAUUGGAUGGUAAAUAUCAAUCAACAAUAAGUUUAAUUGCUUUAAAAAUAAAAGCUUUGAAUAAAAUUAAGACAUAAUUUAGCAUUCCCAGGAAAAUUAUGAUUACAAUUGCAAAUUUAGUAUAGCAAUCACUUACUGUAGUAUAAUAAUAACAAUAAUAAUAAUAAAAGUUAUUUGACAGAACAGUAAUCUAGACCAAAAGAAAUCUCAAAACAGUAACAAAUGCAUUACUGACAUAAUGUUACAUAACACACACAAUGAUUUUGUGUAUCUAUGGUUACAGGUAGUAAAUAUUUUCACAUGAAUUGACAAAAUUUUCUACAAUGGGCACUCAGGCUUUGUGUCAAAAACAUGUUUGAAGCCACAAAUUAUUUUAUGUUCAGUACAACAUACAAUUAUUUCUUGGCUACCUUUUAGAGUAGUAUAUCGUUUGAAGGCGGCAACAGUUUGUGAAUCCCUCUGAACAAUCUGUGCACUGCAAAGCUGUUAGAGAGACAGUGAGAUGAGGCAAAUUAAACAACCUGCCUACAUGAUUUCAAUAAUUGAAAGAAUGAGAUGCAGUUUUGCUUCGGUGUAGUUACAUACCUACAAUUAGUGCUAAUAGUAGUUACUCACCUGUUCAGUUCAGUCAGUUGGAUUCAUUGGUACCAUUAAGAAAUGUUGAAAUAUGAAUCCAAUUUGACUUUUCCCAAUUCAUUUUCAAAAGAUACUGCUGUUCUUGCCCUUCAAGUAUGCUACUCCUGGGGUUUGGAAAGUAGUUUUUAAAAAUCUACUUUGAUGGUUUUGAAAUCAGAGAAGAUAUUCUUUCUUUUAUAUGACAACUUCAUGUGAAGAAUAUAUAUUUUAAGUAAAAUUCUAAAUGGAAAGUUCUGUGACAUGUUAAAAUACUGAAUAAUGAAUGUUAGUUUUACAAAAUGGAAACUUUUCUUCAGUGUGUGUGGGUGAGCAUUUGAGUUGUGAGUCAACCUCUUUUAAGUAUAGUAGACAUAACGAUUAACAGUUUUAAGUGAAUAAAGCUCUUACAUGAAAAUUAACACUGGACCCAAGUAUGGGAACCAAAGAAAAAGGGAGAAAAAAGAUGCACACUGCUAAACACUGCCAUACUCAGUACUGAACAGUAAGUACUAAAUGCUAAGUUGGUAAAUGGGGAGAAUCCAGAAUAAACCAAGAUAGCCGCACUUUUAAGAAAUAGGAAUGGAUAUUUCUAUAUAACACCCAGAAAACUUAAAGGUUAUAAGUUUGUUUUCCCACUUUCAUGUGCAUUUAAUGUGAAAAGUGCCCAUCAGUUUUUUUGUAGUGGAAGGAGAUAGCUUAUAGAAACUGAAAAAGAAAUAACAUUGUAAAGAAGUUUUUAAUUUAAAAAGGUCAUAUGAUCAUAGCUAAAAAAAAAUUAAAUGAAAAAAAAGGAAAGAAACCAUAGGUUUAGUCAUUUCAUUUCCUUGGACAGCCAAUGCAGGCAGAAAUGUACAUCCAGUGAGGACCAAUGAAUCAUAUACAUGUUUCUACAUUAUGUUCUGUUUUCCUUUUUGAAGAGGAUGGAGAGCAAUUAUAAUUUUCAGGGAAGAAUCUGUUUUGAAUGUCAGACUGUAUGCUACUUGAGUGGGACAAGAUUUUUAGAUGCUUCCAUUCCUUUUUGUGCUAGUGUUAGUUUGUCUUGCAUUGGUUAUAAAAAGGAAAAUGGACAUUUCAUGGCACAUAUACCACCAAAAAAUAUUAAAAGCAUUAUUUAUAUUCUACAUUAAAAGAUCAAACCCUUGUAAGAUACACCAAGGCUGUAAAAUUUAAGAAAAUAAAUUAAUGAAAAUCUGCAAAAGAUCUUCAUUUUGUGAAAGACAGAAAUCACCACUUAAAACUCCCAAUUAAAUUGUAUUGUAUUUAAAUAAAAUUUGAAUAAACCCACAUUUGAAAGUUUCUAUACAUUCUUAUUGUGUUUAAAAUGUCGGAUUCAGU